GGACUACCAGGGUUUCUAAUCCUGUUUGCUACCCACGCUUUCGUGCCUCAGCGUCAGUCAUGGUCCAGUAAGCCGUCUACACCGCAGGUGUUCCUCCUGAUAUCUACGCAUUUCACCGCUACACCAGGAAUUCCGCUUACCUCUCCCACACUCAAGCCCUCCAGUUUUCGGCGCACCCUCCCAGUUGAGCCGGGAGAUUUCACACCAAACUUAGAGAACCGCCUACGCACUCUUUACGCCCAGUAACUCCGAACAACGCUUGCUGCCUACGUAUUACCGCGGCUGCUGGCAC
rnacentral:rRNA from 1 species